rnacentral:lncRNA from 1 species
CUCAACAAUCACCACAGGUUCUUGCUACAAAAUAAGAAGUAUAUAAAUGUACUGAUCCAAUAUCUCUAAGUAAUCAUCACAGGUUCAAAUGUUGCUACAAAAUAACAAGUAGAUAAAUGUACUGAUCAAAUAUCUCUCAACAAUCACCACAGGUUCAAAUGUUGCUACAAAUUAACAAACAGAUAAAUGUACUGAUCCAAUAUCUCUCAACAAUCACUGCAGGUUCAAACACAGAAUUGCAUAGCCAUUAUUACAAACAAGUCCGCAUGUAGCAUAAAAGAUGACCGAAAUGUCUUAGAUUAUAGUAAUUCGUUUGGUCGAUAAUAUUCCAAAUCAAGUGCCUUGACAACAUCUCGUGUUCUCCUCACCCGACAAGAAAUAGAAGUAUAAGGUGUUUAGGUCAAGAAAGAUGAUAUGUGAUUAGACAAGUUAACAUAACAAGAGAGUGACCAAGCACAAUGAACCUUGACAAACAGCACCAAGCUAACAUAAACUAAAAAGAACGAAUAGAGACACAGACACGGCGGAACGCAUAACAUCUGGAACAUAACAGCAAGAUGAUUUGCUGUGUGAAUUAAAAUUAUGUCAUGUUAUAUACAGAGUCCAAAAUGAAAAUAACAACAAGAUGAAUUUGCUCUGUGCAUUUCAACACUUUGACAAGACAUUCUUGCUCUAUGCAUUUCAACACUUUGACAAGACAACAGGAGGAAAAGGAGGAGAGUUUUGUACACACCAAUCAUGUCGCACCACUGUUAUAAAAAAGCCUUCCUGUCCAUUCAACCUUGCUUGUUUAUUUCAUAUGUCAAUGAGCGGGCAAUAAUUAGAUAUAAGGAAAAAUACUUUAUCAAAUGCAUGAAAAGCAUGAAAUUUUCAUCACAAGAUAGUAUAGAUUAAAGAGGGUGAACAUGGGCAAAUGUUAGCAACAAUAUGCAUGUAUAUAUCAAAUUUUGAUUCAAGAAUCAGGACAUGUGAGCAUUUGUAUUUAGAAAUAUAUCACAAGAUAGUACAUAUUAUCAAAGCUAACAAUCAUGUUGAGGUUUCAUGUGCUGGAACCUAUUAUCAAAGAUAAACAUAAAAAGAGUUUAGAAACAAUGAUACCAGAUAGCAUUUUGAGGACAAAGUCCCUCCUAAGGAUUUCUGGAAACUCAAGCAUCAUGUUCAUGUGUUCUGGAGCUUUAGCAAAUAUAGUUGCAGCUUCAACAAUCUCGCUCCCAGUGAAUGCAAGCCUAGACAAUUCACUAAUUGCCUUUUCUCUUAAUUUCUGUUGAGGGUCCUCUUGGGUUGUUUCUCGCGCCAUUGCUGCUGAGACUGGUGUUGCCAUUAUACCAACAUGUUGUCUCACGCUGUUUAGUUGGUUGUUGACAUCUUGAAGCAUGGAUACAAAAGGAUCGCUUGGUCCCGCCGCCCUCUUUGUCCUUGGCUCCUUCUUUUGCCUCUUGGAACUACUUGUAUCAAUAGAGCAAGUGUCAAUGGUCUGUCUAGCUGUCUCUAUUGAGAUCAUAUCCUCUUCCUCAUUUUCUUCUUCCUUCAUAGAAAUUUCCUUCUCCAAGUUUCCUAAUAGCCUUCAGCAUUUUCCCCUGUUGCGAUGUCCUUGCCAUAGGAGCAGCCAAUUGCUCAAAGUAUGGAAAUGAUGCACUAUACAAUCCCUUAGCCUCCUUCUGAUUCUACAUGAUUUUUACAAAAGAAGAAAGUUGGUUUCGAUAGAAUGGACAAUAACAAGGGAUAUAAAUGGUAUCUUAAACAUCUUAGGAAUAGAAGCACUAGCAAGGCAUCAAGGAAUGAUCCAAAUACAAAAAGUAUUGAAGAUAAAACACUACAACAGUAGGUAACCAAGGUACAAUUGCAAAUAAAUUCAGCACAAAGCAUUAUUAAGAAAUUCAAUUUUAGAGGUUGAAGUGAUCUCCUUACAAUGUUCUUCAUAUUGUGCCUUCUCGCAUUGAAUCAUCUUCCUAUUUCCAUCCCAUGUCAAACCACUUUUGGGUAUCAUUACUUCAAGAGCACAAAAUUUCUUCCAAGAGUGCCUCACUCUUGAUUCAAUGUGUGGAACUCAAGUGAUACCACGACCUGGGCACUUCUCAGCAAGAUGCUUUUCCAAUAUCGCCAAGUAUCCACCCUUGAAGGCACCAUCAGCUUUCCACCUCGGAUCCAAAGACAACUCAUACAAAGCUUUAAUAAGCUCACCAUCCUCAUCGGAAGUCCAAUUCCUUUUGUGCCAGCCUCUUCCACGCGACAUGCUUGAGCUGUCCAAGUGAUCCAUAUCUACACAAGAAAGCAUGGCUACAAAUGAGAUGGAAAAUAUACAUGAAAGAAAACAAAUGCAAAUAUGAUGCAAUGUUAUCUUAUAUAAAACUAAAAGAAAUAUAGAGGAAGCAAAUGAACAAACACAAAUAGUUAUACCUCAAUGCGCCCUAGCAGCCCUACGUCUAUCCUACAUGCUCUCAGCGAGACCAUUCCAAAAAUUUGUCCACUCAUUCAAAGUUGACAUAGAAGUGAUGAAUUCUGAUUGAUCUAGUUCUCCACCCAUGUCUUCCAAUGUUUCUCGCAUUAAUGGCACGUCGAUAUCAAGUGGGUCGAUAGGCAUCUUUUGCAAUAUAAGGUUAUGCAAGAGUGUGCAUGCCAUGAUGAUUCUACAUUGGGUCUUCAUAGGGAAAAUGAACGGGACCUCAAAAUUUCCCAACGACCCUUGAGCCUUCCAAAGGCCCUUCCUAUAAUAUUUCGGGCUCUAGUGUGGUGCAUGUUAAGAUACUCAUAUGCACUACGAGGUGGGUUUUGUGGUGNNNNACCACCCAAGUGGUAUCUUUGACCUCGGUAUGGAGCUAGAAAUCCUCUUGUAUUUGUGUAGCCAGCAUCGACAAGGUAAUAUUGGUCUUUGGGGACACGUAACCCAUGUGGCCUUGAGAUGGCAUCCGUAAGAACACGACCAUCGUGUGCAGAACCCUCCCAAGCAGAUAAUGCGUAGAUGAACUGCAUGUCAGGUGCAAAUACACCUAACACAUUUGUAUUUAUAUCACCCAACCUUGAUCUAUAUCUUCCUUUCAGAUUAGCCGGGACAGUUAAGCCUAUGGGUGUGCCAUCUAACGCUCCAAGGCAAUUCUGCAAUAUAUAUAAACAACAAUGUGAAAAUAUUAGCAUCUUUUACCACUAUUGAGAUCAUCUGGUGAAUAAUAUUCUUAUAGUAGUUAUUUACCUUGAAAUAGUUCAAUUUAUCAUCGGUUCAAUCCUCUGGUAUAGGUUCCCGUUUCUUAAGUAGCAGAUGGUGCAGUUUCAGGACAGCUAGAAGACAAGCAUUGGAGUUUCUAAUAACCAACUCCGGGCUUCGAUAGAAGAAUCUUCCUACUGUCCUAUUUUUAAAAUGGUGUGAUGAUAUAUAUAAGAAUGAUGCCACUAUCUUCUCUAAUGAUGUGUUCCUUUUACCCUUUAGAACAUAAUAUAAUUCUCCUUCUCACAUAAUAUAUGAAAUGUUCUCCUAUCCAUACAAAGUUGACUUAUACACAUAUCGUCGCUCUCACCAAUUAGCCGGUACAAGUUCUCUCCCCUUAACUCUCUAAUUUUAAUUCUCCUUUCUAUUUGCCAACAUUUUCUCCUAUAAGCUAACGCAAACAUGAACCAAACAUAAUAGUAUACAAACAUAAUGGAAGUAGUCAAAUUCAAAAAUGUUGUGUUUCUCCUUCCACGCCUCGCACUUAAGGGAAGACGAGCCAUAACUGAAAAGUAGAAUACGAUAUAUAAGCAUAAGGAAAAUAUACCUAAUUAAGGUACAAUUAGUCAUGCAAAGGUGCACUAGAUCCAAAUAAACUUGCACAUUAGAAGCCUAAUUAAGUCAUCUGCAACUCACAACAUAAAUAAGCGUGCAGGUUCGCAUCAGAAACAUGAAAAUAUAGUUUUGCAGAGGUUAUUUGGAUCCAUGGAAAAUUGCAUAUCAGAACACUACAUGAGAUGGCCCAAUUGACAACAUUAUUCAUGCAGACCCAAGAGGACAAGACUUUCGGAAAUCUGAUAACAUAUAUCCAUGCCAUGCUAUUCAAGAACAUGCAUCAAACAAGAAACCUUCCUUCCUUUUGUGACCAGCCAACCUAAUUCAUCUAUUUUCCUAGUUACCUAACUAGAUACUCCCUCCGUUCCUAAAUAUAAGUCUUUCUAGAAGUUUCAUUAAUGGACUACAUAC